rnacentral:rRNA from 1 species
AGUAACACGUGGAUAACCUACCUAUAAGACUGGGAUAACUUCGGGAAACCGGAGCUAAUACCGGAUGAUAUUUUGAACCGCAUGGUUCAAAAGUGAAAGACGGUCUUGCUGUCACUUAUAGAUGGAUCCGCGCUGUAUUAGCUAGUUGGUAAGGUAACGGCUUACCAAGGCAACGAUGCAUAGCCGACCUGAGAGGGUGAUCGGCCACACUGGAACUGAGACACGGUCCAG